GCCCUGGUAGCGCAGUGGUUAAAUGCCUGUACUGCAGCCAACUGUAAGGUUGUGGGUUCAAUACCAGCCAGGGGCU
rnacentral:tRNA from 1 species